rnacentral:tRNA from 2 species
UGAGAGGAAGGAACUGGUGUUCCAGCUGGUCUUCAAAAUCAGUAGUGAGCGGAUAACACCGUUUAUGGCAGGUUCGAUUCCUGCCCUCUCGGCCA